rnacentral:rRNA from 1 species
GAUGAACGCUGGCGGCGUGCCUAAUACAUGCAAGUCGAGCGAACAGACGAGGAGCUUGCUCCUCUGACGUUAGCGGCGGACGGGUGAGUAACACGUGGAUAACCUACCUAUAAGACUGGGAUAACUUCGGGAAACCGGAGCUAAUACCGGAUAAUAUAUUGAACCGCAUGGUUCAAUAGUGAAAGACGGUUUUGCUGUCACUUAUAGAUGGAUCUGCGCCGCAUUAGCUAGUUGGUAAGGUAACGGCUUACCAAGGCAACGAUGCGUAGCCGACCUGAGAGGGUGAUCGGCCACACUGGAACUGAGACACGGUCCAGACUCCUACGGGAGGCAGCAGUAGGGAAUCUUCCGCAAUGGGCGAAAGCCUGACGGAGCAACGCCGCGUGAGUGAUGAAGGUCUUCGGAUCGUAAAACUCUGUUAUUAGGGAAGAACAAAUGUGUAAGUAACUAUGCACGUCUUGACAGUACCUAAUCAGAAAGCCACGGCUAACUACGUG